AACGAACGCUGGCGGCAUGCCUAACACAUGCAAGUCGAACGAGACCUUCGGGUCUAGUGGCGCACGGGUGCGUAACGCGUGGGAACCUGCCCUUAGGUUCGGAAUAACUCCCCGAAAGGGGUGCUAAUACCGGAUAAUGUCUUCGGACCAAAGAUUUAUCGCCUUUGGAUGGGCCCGCGUUGGAUUAGCUAGUUGGUAGGGUAAAAGCCUACCAAGGCGACGAUCCAUAGCUGGUCUGAGAGGAUGAUCAGCCACACUGGGACUGAGACACGGCCCAGACCCCUGGGGGGGGCAGGAGUGGGGAAUAUUGGAAAAUGGGCGAAAGCCUGACCCAGCAAUGCCGGGUGGGUGAUGAAGGCCUUAGGGUUUUAAAGCUCUUUUCCCCGGGAUGAUAAUGACAGUACCGGGAAAAUAAGCCCCGGCUAACUCCGU
rnacentral:rRNA from 1 species